UAACCUACGGGGGGCAGCAGUGAGGAAUAUUGGCCAAUGGCCGGAAGGCUGAACCAGCCAUGCCGCGUGAAGGUCAGUGCCCUAUGGGCGUUAAACUUCUUUUGUGCGGGAGCAAUAAUGGUCACGUGUGGCCAGACGAGAGUACCGUACGAAUAAGCAUCGGCUAACUCCGUGCCAGCAGCCGCGGUAAUACGGGGGAUGCAAGCGUUAUCCGGAUUUAUUGGGUUUAAAGGGUGCGUAGGCUGUGAGGUAAGUCAGCGGUGAAAGGCCGCCGCUCAACGGGGUGAAGGGCGUUGGAUACUGCA
rnacentral:rRNA from 1 species